rnacentral:rRNA from 1 species
GAUGAACGCUAGCUACAGGCUUAACACAUGCAAGUCGAGGGGCAGCACGAAGAUAGCUUGCUAUCUUGGGUGGCGACCGGCGCACGGGUGAGUAACGCGUAUCCAACCUGCCCAUUACUCAGGGAUAGCCUUGCGAAAGUAAGAUUAAUACCUGAUGUUGUUAAAAACCCGCAUGAGUUUUUAACCAAAGAUUUAUUGGUAAUGGAUGGGGAUGCGUGACAUUAGGUAGUUGGUGAGGUAACGGCUCACCAAGCCUACGAUGUCUAGGGGUUCUGAGAGGAAGGUCCCCCACAUUGGAACUGAGACACGGUCCAAACUCCUACGGGAGGCAGCAGUGAGGAAUAUUGGUCAAAUGGGGCGAAAGCCUGAACCAGCCAAGUCGCGUGAAGGAAUACGGUCCUAUGGAUUUUAAACUUCUUUUGUAUGGGAGCAAUAAGGUGUACGUGUACAUCGAUGAGAGUACCAUACGAAUAAGCAUCGGCUAACUCCGUGCCAGCAGCCG